rnacentral:rRNA from 1 species
UACGUAGGGGGCAAGCGUUGUCCGGAUUUAUUGGGCGUAAAGAGCUCGUAGGCGGUUUGGUAAGUCUGGUGUGAAAUCUCCACGCUCAACGUGGAGGGGCCACCCGAUACUGCCAUGACUGGAGUCCGGUAGAGGAGUGUGGAAUUCCCGGUGUAGCGGUGAAAUGCGCAGAUAUCGGGGGGAACACCCGUAGCGAAGGCGGCACUCUGGGCCGGUACUGACGCUGAGGAGCGAAAGCGUGGGGAGCAAACAGG